GUGGGUAGUUUGACUGGGGCGGUCUCCUCCUAAAGAGUAACGGAGGAGCACGAAGGUUGGCUAAUCCUGGUCGGACAUCAGGAGGUUAGUGCAAUGGCAUAAGCCAGCUUGACUGCGAGCGUGACGGCGCGAGCAGGUGCGAAAGCAGGUCAUAGUGAUCCGGUGGUUCUGAAUGGAAGGGCCAUCGCUCAACGGAUAAAAGGUACUCCGGGGAUAACAGGCUGAUACCGCCCAAGAGUUCAUAUCGACGGCGGUGUUUGGCACCUCGAUGUCGGCUCAUCACAUCCUGGGGCUGAAGUAGGUCCCAAGGGUAUGGCUGUUCGCCAUUUAAAGUGGUACGCGAGCUGGGUUUAGAACGUCGUGAGACAGUUCGGUCCCUAUCUGCCGUGGGCGCUGGAGAACUGAGGGGGGCUGCUCCUAGUACGAGAGGACCGGAGUGGACGCAUCACUGGUGUUCGGGUUGUCAUGCCAAUGGCACUGCCCGGUAGCUAAAUGCGGAAGAGAUAAGUGCUGAAAGCAUCUAAGCACGAAACUUGCCCCGAGAUGAGUUCUCCCUGACUCUUUAAGGGUCCUGAAGGAACGUUGAAGACGACGACGUUGAUAGGCCGGGUGUGUAAGCGCAGCGAUGCGUUGAGCUA
rnacentral:rRNA from 1 species